CCUACGGUGUGCAGCAGUGGGGAAUAUUGGGCAAUGGGCGCAAGCCUGACCCAGCAACGCCGCGUGAAGGAAGAAGGCUUUCGGGUUGUAAACUUCUUUUCUCAGGGACGAAGCAAGUGACGGUACCUGAGGAAUAAGCCACGGCUAACUCCGUGCCAGCAGCCGCGGUAAUACGUAGGUGGCAAGCGUUAUCCGGAUUUAUUGGGUUUAAAGGGUGCGCAGGCGGAAUGUCAAGUCAGCGGUAAAAUUUCGGGGCUCAACCCCGUCGUGCCGUUGAAACUGGCGUUCUUGAGUGAGCGAGAAGUAUGCGGAAUGCGUGGUGUAGCGGUGAAAUGCAUAGAUAUCACGCAGAACUCCGAUUGCGAAGGCAGCAUACCGGCGCUCAACUGACGCUCAUGCACGAAAGCGUGGGUAUCGAACAGGAUUAGAUACCCCGGUAGUC
rnacentral:rRNA from 1 species